AUUGAACGCUGGCGGCAGGCCUAACACAUGCAAGUCGAACGAGUGGCGGACGGGUGAGUAAUGUCUGGGAAACUGCCCGAUGGAGGGGGAUAACUACUGGAAACGGUAGCUAAUACCGCAUACUAUCGGAUGUGCCCAUAUGGGAUUAGCUUGUGGGUGGGGUAAAGGCUCACCAAGGCGACGAUCUCUAGCUGGUCUGAGAGGAUGAUCAGCCACACUGGAACUGAUAAACUGUCCAGACUCCGACGUGAGGCAGCAGUGGGGAAUAUUGCACAAUGGGCGCAAGCCUGAUGCAGCCAUGCCGCGUGUAUGAAGAAGGCCUUCGGGGUGUAAAGUACGUUCAGCGGGGAGGCGUUACCCGCAGAAGAAGCACCGGCUAACUCCGUGCCAGCAGCCGCGGUAAUAC
rnacentral:rRNA from 1 species